UCCUCUUUACAGAGGCAGUUUGUUUCGUGUGCCCGACAUUACUCGCUGGUAACAAAACAUGAGGGUUGCGCUCGUUGCGGGACUUAACCCAACAUUUCACAACACGAGCUGACGACAGCCAUGCACCACCUGUGCAUCACCUUCGAAAGCGAGUGGCUUUCACCACCGUGCAGAUGCAUGUCAAGCCCUGGUAAGGUUCUUCGCGUUGCAUCGAAUUAAAGAACAUGCUCCGCUGCUUGUGCGGGCCCCCGUCAAUUCUUUUGAGUUUUAGCCUUGCGGCCGUACUCCCCAGGCGGGAUACUUAACGCGUUAACUUCGGCACAGAGGGAUUCGACUCCCCCCACACCCAGUAUCCAUCGUUUACGGCGUGGACUAC
rnacentral:misc_RNA from 1 species